rnacentral:rRNA from 1 species
UACAGAGGUCUCAAGCGUUGUUCGGAUUCAUUGGGCGUAAAGGGUGCGUAGGUGGUCAGGUAAGUCGGAUGUGAAAUCUCCGAGCUCAACUCGGAAACUGCAUUGGAAACUACCUGGCUCGAGGGUUGGAGGGGGGACUGGAAUGCUUGGUGUAGCAGUGAAAUGCGUAGAUAUCAAGCGGAACACCAGUGGCGAAGGCGAGUCCCUGGACAACUCCUGACACUGAUGCACGAAAGCUAGGGGAGCAAACAGG